rnacentral:rRNA from 1 species
UACAGAGGUCCCAAGCGUUACUGAGAAUCACUGGGUUUAAAGGGUGCGUAGGUGGUCCGUUAAGUCAGUUGUGAAAUCCCCGGGCUCAACCCGGGAAAUGCUUCUGAUACUGGCGGACUUGAGGCCAGUAGGGGUCACUAGAACUUACGGUGGAGCGGUGAAAUGCGUAGAUAUCGUCAGGAAUGCCGGUGGUGAAGACGGGUGACUGGGCUGGUUCUGACACUGAGGCACGAAAGCGUGGGGAGCGAACGGG